GAUGAACGCUGGCGACGUGCCUAACACAUGCAAGUCGAGCGUGAUUUAUGAGGACGAAACUUCGGUCUAGGAAUCAUAAUGAAAGCGGCGGACGGGUGAGUAGCGCGUAGGCAACCUGCCCUUGACACAGGGAUAGCCUCGGGAAACCGGGAUUAAAACCUGAUAACGCCAAAGAGUCACAUGGCUCUUGGGCCAAAGAUUUAUCGGUCAAGGAUGGGCCUGCGUCUGAUUAGUUAGUUGGUGGGGUAACGGCCUACCAAGACGACGAUCAGUAGCCGACCUAAGAGGGUGAUCGGCCACAUUGGAACUGAGACACGGUCCAAACUCCUACGGGAGGCAGCAGUGGGGAAUAUUGCACAAUGGGCGAAAGCCUGAUGCAGCAACGCCGCGUGAGUGAUGAAGGCCUUUGGGUCGUAAAGCUCUGUCCUUGGGGAAGAAACAAAUGACGGUACCCAAGGAGGAAGCCCCGGCUAACUACGUGCCAGCCGCCGCGGUAAAAC
rnacentral:rRNA from 1 species